GACCACUGGUGGCCUAAGUGGUUAGAGUGUCUGCCUUGGAUGUAAGAGGUUGCAGGUUCGAGCCCUGGCCAAGUCA